rnacentral:lncRNA from 1 species
GGUGGAGCUAGGGAAAGCCUUCAUGGAAAGGGUUUCAUCUUUCUGAACAUUCACCACACUGGUGGACAAAUCCUUUUUGUGUGAGGAAGAUGUGGCUGUUGGGAGAGUCAAGUAAUUGAAUGACGUGAAUUUCCUGGAGUUUCCAUAAGUUCCUGUAAAUUUAGCCUCCAACUGAAAUAAACCAACUGGAUUGCAUUAGAUUUCAAGAGGCUGUGCCAGGGCAGGGAGGACAACCAUCUCAACAGAGACUUCAGCUACAUUUAACUCCAGUAGGUCCACAAACAUCAGUCCAUGUAGGUA